AUUGAACGCUGGCGGCAUGCCUUACACAUGCAAGUCGAGCGGUAGAGGGGGCAACCCCUCGAGAGUGGCGAACGGGUGAGUAAUGCAUCGGAACGUGCCCCGUAGUGGGGGAUAGCCCGGCGAAAGCCGGAUUAAUACCGCAUACGACCUACGGGUGAAAGGGGGGGAUCGCAGGAGCUCUCGCUAUCGGAGAGGCCGAUGUCGGAGUAGGUAGUUGGUGGGGUAAAGGCCUACCAAGCCGACGAUCUGUAGCUGGUCUGAGAGGACGACCAGCCACACUGGGACUGAGACACGGCCCAGACUCCUACGGGAGGCAGCAGUGGGGAAUUUUGGACAAUGGGCGCAAGCCUGAGCCAGCCAUGCCGCGUGCGGGAAGAAGGCCUUCGGGUUGUAAACCGCUUUUGUCAGGGAAGAAAUCCUUUGAGUUAAUACCUCGGGGGGAUGACGGUACCUGAAGAAUAAGCACCGGCUAACUACGUGCCAGCCGCCGCAGUAAUAC
rnacentral:rRNA from 1 species